rnacentral:rRNA from 1 species
GAUGAACGUUGGCGGUGUGCCUAAUACAUGCAAGUCGAACGAAGUUGAUAGCAAUAUUAGCUUAGUGGCGAACGGGUGAGUAACGCGUUGGUGAUCUGCCUUGAAGUGUGGAAUAACGUUUCGAAAGGAACGCUAAUACCGCAUGUGCUCUCGAUUUUCAGAAAGUUGAGAGUAAAGGAUUUAUUCGCUUCAAGAGGAGCCUGCGUCCCAUCAGCUGGUUGGUAGGGUAACGGCCUACCAAGGCUAUGACGGGUAGGGGACCUGAGAGGGUGGCCCCCCACAAUGGAACUGAAACACGGUCCAUACACCUACGGGUGGCAGCAGUAGGGAAUAUUAGAAAUGGACGAAAGUCUGAUCUAGCAACACCGCGUGUGCGAAGAAGGCC